rnacentral:lncRNA from 1 species
CUUAAUAUAUGCUGUCAUCUAUACCUUGUCGUUGACUUUCAUCGCAGUGGAGAUCUUAAAAUUUUUAAGAAUUUUUAUUCCCGAACUGAGACUGUCCAACGACUUGGGCUCUUCUACACAUAAUAUCGUCGUGAUACAGCACUGAUUUAUUAUUUUACUCUAUCUCUCAAUUGUUUCUUAAUAUAUGCUACCAUCUAUACCUUGUCGUUGACUUUCAUGGCGGUGGAGAUCUUAAAAUCUUUAAGAAUUUUUAUUCCUGAACUGAUACUGAUACUGAACUGAUACAACGACUUGAGCUCUUCUAUACAUAAUAUCGUCGUGUUGUAUCACUGAUUUAUCAUCUUAGCCUAUCUAUCAAUUGCUUCUUAAUAUAUGCUGUCAUCUAUACAUUGUCAUUAAAUUUCAUCACAAUCAAAAUCUUAAAAUCUCUAAGAAUUUUCAUCUCAGGACUGAGACUAUCCGGAGACUCGCGCUUUUCUAGACAUACUAUCAUUAUGUUAUAUUUCUAACUUAUUAUUUUACUUGGCUUCUCAAUUGCUUCUCAACAUGUGUUGUCGCCUACACCUUGUCAUAAAUUUCAUUGCAGUAGAAAUGUCUCAAUCUUCUACAUCUUACAUAUGAGACACGAGACAUAUUGAAAAGCGAUUGAGAGGCAAACUAAAAUAAUAAAUUGGAACUAUUUCGCAAUGACAUUAUGCUUAGGAAAGCACGAGUCGCUGUAUAAUCUCAGCCUUGAGAUAAAAAUUCAUAUACAUUUUGAUUGCGAUGAAAUUAACGACAAAGUACAAGAGACAUCAUACAUUCGAAAACGAUUAAAGGGUAAACUGAAAUAAUAAAUUAGAGCUCCAUCACGACAAUAUUAUACAUGGAAAAGUGUGAGUCUAUACAGUUAACAUGAACUUGGGAAAAUAAUGUUUAAAAUUGAGAAUUUUGCUAUAAUGAAAUUUAUGACAAGGUAUAGGGGACAACACAUGUUGAAAAGCUAUUGAGAAGCCAAUUAAAAUAAUAUAUUAGAACUAAAACAUAAUGAUAUCAUGCCUAGAAUAGCUCAUGUCGUUGGGCGGUCUCAGUUCAGAAAUAUAAAUUCUUAAAGAUUUUAAGAUUUCGAUAGCGAUCAAAGUUAACGACAAGAUAUAGAUAACAGCAUAUAUUAAGAAGCAAUUAGAAGAUAGAUCAAAAUAAUAAAUCAGAGUUACAUCACGACGAUAUUAUGUAUAGAAAAGCGCAAGUCGGUAUAAUGAGCAGAAACUUAGGGAAAAAUUAAUAAAUAUUAGUUUAACUUGUUGCAUGUGUAAGAUACAGACGAGGGAGGACAGCACCAGUCUCUUCCGGGGGAGCCACGGGAGAAAGGCCGCUCCUGUGUUCGAUUCGACGGAUGGAAUAAAACGAGACGAAUGGCGGCAGGGACAGGGGCAAGGACGAGACGGAGGCAAGGCUUUUUGCCAUUUAACGUUGAGACGGAGAAUAAAAAUAGAGUCGAGUCGAAAGACAAGUCGUAGAUCGUUAAGCUUUGUAAAGCGAUAUAUUUAGUAUAAAUUGCGGUGUCGGUAUUAUUGUAUUUGAGUUCUUUUAAAAUAUACAUAUACUUAUAUUCUUGUUCACUAUAA